AAUAAGGUGCCUGAUUAAAAGGACUAUUUUGAUAGAAUAGAAUAUGUAUAAUUUACCCUUAUUA
rnacentral:tRNA from 1 species